rnacentral:rRNA from 1 species
CCGGGGGAACUGAAACAUCUAAGUACCCCGAGGAAAAGAAAUCAACCGAGAUUCCCCCAGUAGCGGCGAGCGAACGGGGAGGAGCCCAGAGCCUGAAUCAGUGUGUGUGUUAGUGGAAGCGUCUGGAAAGGCGCGCGAUACAGGGUGACAGCCCCGUACACAAAAAUGCACAUAUUGUGAGCUCGAUGAGUAGGGCGGGACACGUGGUAUCCUGUCUGAAUAUGGGGGGACCAUCCUCCAAGGCUAAAUACUCCUGACUGACCGAUAGUGAACCAGUACCGUGAGGGAAAGGCGAAAAGAACCCCGGCGAGGGGAGUGAAAAAGAACCUGAAACCGUGUACGUACAAGCAGUGGGAGCCUCUUAAUGGGGUGACUGCGUACCUUUUGUAUAAUGGGUCAGCGACUUAUAUUCUGUAGCAAGGUUAACCGAAUAGGGGAGCCGAAGGGAAACCGAGUCUUAACUGGGCGUUAAGUUGCAGGGUAUAGACCCGAAACCCGGUGAUCUAGCCAUGGGCAGGUUGAAGGUUGGGUAACACUAACUGGAGGACCGAACCGACUAAUGUUGAAAAAUUAGCGGAUGACUUGUGGCUGGGGGUGAAAGGCCAAUCAAACCGGGAGAUAGCUGGUUCUCCCCGAAAGCUAUUUAGGUAGCGCCUCGUGAAUUCAUCUCCGGGGGUAGAGCACUGUUUCGGCAAGGGGGUCAUCCCGACUUACCAACCCGAUGCAAACUGCGAAUACCGGAGAAUGUUAUCACGGGAGACACACGGCGGGUGCUAACGUCCGUCGUGAAGAGGGAAACAACCCAGACCGCCAGCUAAGGUCCCAAAGUCAUGGUUAAGUGGGAAACGAUGUGGGAAGGCCCAGACAGCCAGGAUGUUGGCUUAGAAGCAGCCAUCAUUUAAAGAAAGCGUAAUAGCUCACUGGUCGAGUCGGCCUGCGCGGAAGAUGUAACGGGGCUAAACCAUGCACCGAAGCUGCGGCAGCGACACUAUGUGUUGUUGGGUAGGGGAGCGUUCUGUAAGCCUGUGAAGGUGUACUGUGAGGUAUGCUGGAGGUAUCAGAAGUGCGAAUGCUGACAUAAGUAACGAUAAAGCGGGUGAAAAGCCCGCUCGCCGGAAGACCAAGGGUUCCUGUCCAACGUUAAUCGGGGCAGGGUGAGUCGACCCCUAAGGCGAGGCCGAAAGGCGUAGUCGAUGGGAAACAGGUUAAUAUUCCUGUACUUGGUGUUACUGCGAAGGGGGGACGGAGAAGGCUAUGUUGGCCGGGCGACGGUUGUCCCGGUUUAAGCGUGUAGGCUGGUUUUCCAGGCAAAUCCGGAAAAUCAAGGCUGAGGCGUGAUGACGAGGCACUACGGUGCUGAAGCGACAAAUGCCCUGCUUCCAGGAAAAGCCUCUAAGCAUCAGGUAACAUCAAAUCGUACCCCAAACCGACACAGGUGGUCAGGUAGAGAAUACCAAGGCGCUUGAGAGAACUCGGGUGAAGGAACUAGGCAAAAUGGUGCCGUAACUUCGGGAGAAGGCACGCUGAUAUGUAGGUGAAGCGACUUGCUCGUGGAGCUGAAAUCAGUCGAAGAUACCAGCUGGCUGCAACUGUUUAUUAAAAACACAGCACUGUGCAAACACGAAAGUGGACGUAUACGGUGUGACGCCUGCCCGGUGCCGGAAGGUUAAUUGAUGGGGUUAGCGGUAACGCGAAGCUCUUGAUCGAAGCCCCGGUAAACGGCGGCCGUAACUAUAACGGUCCUAAGGUAGCGAAAUUCCUUGUCGGGUAAGUUCCGACCUGCACGAAUGGCGUAAUGAUGGCCAGGCUGUCUCCACCCGAGACUCAGUGAAAUUGAACUCGCUGUGAAGAUGCAGUGUACCCGCGGCAAGACGGAAAGACCCCGUGAACCUUUACUAUAGCUU